GUGGACGUGAUGACCUGUUUUUUCUUGAGUAUCAGUGAUGUUUUUGUAUUCAUACUGUCUGAUCCAC
ensembl:snoRNA small nucleolar RNA SNORD41